rnacentral:rRNA from 1 species
AUUGAACGCUGGCGGCAUGCCUUACACAUGCAAGUCGAACGGCAGCACGGGAGCAAUCCUGGUGGCGAGUGGCGAACGGGUGAGUAAUGUAUCGGAACGUGCCCAGUCGUGGGGGAUAACGUAGCGAAAGCUACGCUAAUACCGCAUACGAUCUAUGGAUGAAAGCGGGGGACCGUAAGGCCUCGCGCGAUUGGAGCGGCCGAUAUCAGAUUAGGUAGUUGGUGGGGUAAAGGCCUACCAAGCCGACGAUCUGUAGCUGGUCUGAGAGGACGACCAGCCACAAUGGGACUGGGACACGGCCCAGACUCCUACGGGAGGCAGCAGUGGGGAAUUUUGGACAAUGGGCGCAAGCCUGAUUCAGCAAUGCCGCGUGCAGGAUGAAGGCCUUCGGGUUGUAAACUGCUUUUGUACGGAGCGAAAAGGCUCUCUCUAAUACAGGGGGCUCAUGACGGUACCGUAAGAAUAAGCACCGGCUAACUACGUGCCAGCCGCCGCGGUAACAC